rnacentral:rRNA from 1 species
AGAGUUUGAUCCUGGCUCAGAUUGAACGCUGGCGGCAUGCCUUACACAUGCAAGUCGAACGGCAGCACGGGGGCAACCCUGGUGGCGAGUGGCGAACGGGUGAGUACAUCAUCGGAACGUGUCCUCUUGUGGGGGAUAACCAGUCGAAAGGCUGGCUAAUACCGCAUGAGCCUGAGAGGGGAAAGCGGGGGAUUCGAAAGAACCUCGCGCGAGAGGAGCGGCCGAUGUCCGAUUAGCUAGUUGGCGGGAUAACAGCCCACCAAGGCAACGAUCGGUAGCUGGUCUGAGAGGAUGAUCAGCCACACUGGGACUGAGACACGGCCCAGACUCCUACGGGAGGCAGCAGUGGGGAAUUUUGGACAAUGGGGGCAACCCUGAUCCAGCCAUGCCGCGUGUGUGAAGAAGGCCUUCGGGUUGUAAAGCACUUUCGGGCGGAACGAAAUCGCACGGGUUAAUACCACGUGUGGAUGACGGUACCGCAAGAAGAAGCACCGGCUAAUUACGUGCCAGCAGCCGCGGUAAUACGUAGGGUGCGAGCGUUAAUCGGAAUUACUGGGCGUAAAGCGUGCGCAGGCGGUUACGCAAGUCAGGUGUGAAAGCCCCGAGCUUAACUUGGGAAU